GACAGAGGUGCCGAGCGUUAGGCGGAAUCACUGGGCUUAAAGCGUGUGUAGGCGGACGGGUAAGUACCUUGUGAAAUCCCACGGCUCAACCGUGGAACUGCUGGGUAUACUGCCUGUCUUGAGUCAUCUAGGGGCGAGCGGAACAAAUGGUGGAGCGGUGAAAUGCGUAGAUAUCAUUUGGAACGCCAAUGGUGAAAACAGCUCGCUGGGGAUGUACUGACGCUGAGACACGAAAGCCAGGGGAGCAAACGGGAUUAGAUACCCCGGUAGUCCUGGCCCUAAACGAUGUCGACUAGAUCGUGGUGCCUCUGACGGUAUCACGGUCGAAGCAAAAGUGCUAAGUCGACCGCCUGGGAAGUACGGUCGCAAGGCUAAA
rnacentral:rRNA from 1 species